rnacentral:rRNA from 1 species
ACGGCGAGUGAAGCGGGAUGAGCUCAAGCUUAAAAUCUCCGUACAAGUUUUGUAUGGCGAAUUGUAGUCUAUAGAGGCGUGGUCAGCGUGGGCGCUUGGGGUAAGUUCCUUGGAAGAGGACAGCAUGGAGGGUGAUACUCCCGUUCAUCCCUGAGUGGCUCGUGCGUACGACCCGUUUUCUUUGAGUCGCGUUGUUUGGGAAUGCAGCGCAAAGUAGGUGGUAAAUUCCAUCUAAAGCUAAAUAUUGGUGCGAGACCGAUAGCGAACAAGUACCGUGAGGGAAAGAUGAAAAGAACUUUGAAAAGAGAGUUAAAGAGUACCUGAAACUGCUGAAAGGGAACCGAAUCGUUUCCAGUGUCUAUAAUCCGUGGUAUAUUUCAUUGGCGAGUGUGUGCGUGCGUGUGCUGUGGCAGUGGCUUUUUUGGCUGCGCUCGGCGUGUGUGCUGUGUGUGCUUGCUGGUGCCCUGUGCUGCGGUGGGACGUCAAGGUCAGUUCGUAUGCUGCGGGAAAUGGCUGCCGAGGAGGUAGGGCUUACGCUUGCGUUUGUCUGUUAUAUCUUGGUGGACGAGUUGUCGCGGUUGGGACUGAGGUGCCUACAACGUGCUUUUGAGUGAGUUUGUGUCUCCGUGUGCGCCGUGUGUGGAUAGCUUGCUAUGUAUGUGCGGUUGUGUGUGGAUUGAUGCGGGCUUUAACUUGUUGCCGUUCGGGACGUUGGCGAAAUGGAGCGAUCCGACCCGUCUUGAAACACGGACCAAGGAGUCUAACAUGUGUGCAAGUGUUAGGGUGUGGAAACCCCAGCGCGAAAUGAAAGUGAAGGGCAGCGCAAGUUGUCUGAGGUAGGAAACGUUGUGGACUUCGGUCUGCGGCGUGGCACUAUCGACCGAUCAUGAACCUUCGUGGUGAAAGAUUUGAGUUUGAGCACAUAUGUUGGUACCCGAAAGAUGGUGAACUAUGCCUGAGUAGGGUGAAGCCAGGGGAAACUCUGGUGGAAGCUCGUAGCGAUUCUGACGUGCAAAUCGAUCGUCAAACUUGGGUAUAGGGGCGAAAGACUAAUCGAACCAUCUAGUAGCUGGUUCCCUCCGAAAUUUCCCUCAGGAUAGCAGCAACUUAUUUACGAUAGUUUUAUGAGGUAAAGCGAAUGAUUAGAGGAUUCGGGGAAGAAACUUCCUCGACCUAUUCUCAAACUUUAAAUCUGUAAGACCUGCAGGUUUCUUAAUUGAACUUGUGG